UUUGCUUUCUGAAAUUGUGAAAUUUGUGUCACAACCCAGCCCUAGUUAACUUUCAUGGCCAAAAUAAAAAUCCAUAAUCCAUAAUAUUGCUUUCUCCAGUGAAGAAAAGAAGGUUGUCUCGUCUGAAUCAGGAGAGAAAUAUGCACAGAUCAAAACAAAACAGUUCUAAACAAAUAUGUUGGUGUAAUUUUGAUGUGAGAGGACAACAGGGCAUGGAUCUUUUCACUGGAAACACUGUUUUGGAUUAUGGACUCGUAUUUUGGUCAGAAGCAAGUUAAAUCGCCCUAAUGAUGGAUUUGUUAUGUACAAACUUGCAGCUUUUCUCUUCACAAGAUGUUAAUUGAUGGAUGUGUGAAUUACUUGUGGAUUAUCUUGAUGUUUUUAUCAGCUAUUUGGACUCUCAUUCUGAGGGCACCCAUUCACUGCAGAAGAUCUAUUGGACCAGCUUGACCAGCUUGAUAAUUCUGGGUGACGAGCCAAAACCAGCAUGAAAGAGCUCAAAACAUGCCUCAUACUGGUGAAUUAGAUGGUCAUUUCAGAUGGUCAGCAAACUGAACCAGCCAAACUUGCAUCAGAAACAUUGCAUCAGGGCCACUGGAAAUUGACAAGUCUAAUUGAAAGCGAAUAAUUGUAGCGUUGUUUUGUAGCUGCAAGUAGUAUCAUAGUUUUUAAUUAUUUAAAGGUGUCAUAUGAUGUUGCUAAAAAGAACACCAUUUUGUGUAUUUGGUGUAAUGCAAUGUGUUUCUGUGGUUUAAGGUUAAAAAAACACAUUAUUUUCCACAUAAUGUAAAUGAUUGUUUGUGCUCUAUGCCCCGCCUUUCUGAAACGCGCUGAUUUUUACAAAGCGCAUCGUUCUGAAAAGUGAGGCGUGCCCUGAUUGGCCAACUAUCCAGUGCGUUGGAUUGGCCGAAUGCCUCAAGCGUGUGACGGAAAUGUUACACCCCUUAACACUGUGAAAUGCCGUGUGUGCCUGACAGGUAGGAUAAAAUGUUAGGACACUGGCGCGAUGAGACAAAACCAAUAAAACCUAUUACAACAAGGUAUUUGUUGCAUCCAGUGGGGACAUAAUUACUGAUUAUAAUGACUUAUACUGUCUUUUUACGCGUUGCAUAUCGCGCAGCAUAAACAUAAAACCAUGUCUGCAUUUGUGAUCGGAGAAAUGACAAACAACAAGCUCUAACGGUUACUCUACACUGCUCAAAACUCGUGUUUGAAUCAUCAGUGGCAAAUCCUUUACAUACGAAUUGUGUCAGAAGCACCAGACCGUCCUUGCAAAGUUAGAAUUGACCCACUUUAUAAAAAGAGACACCAGCAUUGUAGGCUACUCUCCGAGGAAACAGUCCUUGUCCUCCACAAAAUCCGCAGCACACAUCUGAAUAUUUGGGUUAAACUGUUCUGGAACAAUGUUGUAAAUACAACUUAACCACUGAUUUCUAGUUGUGUCCUCUUUUGGAAGACCACACAAAGUAGCUUUGCUUUCACAAUGAAAAACAAGCAUCUCCACAACAUGGUGCCAGCGGCAACAGUAAGAAUAAAAGUUACACCUUCUUUCUUUGUGUGAACAUUUAGGCGGCGUUAUACAAAUCUUCCCACAUCGUGACAUAGACAUGUGGGGGUGUGUUAGAAUGAGCCGUUUUAGGUAGGAGAGGUUAACUCUUUUAUAAAGUAUAUCUCUUUGGAUUUGAGACUUUUUGAGUCUUUGCAACCUUACAGACCUUCUUUAUGCACCAAGAGCUUGUAACACUCCAAAGAGAAAGGAAACAUUUAAGUCGCAUCAUAUGACCCCUUUAAGUUAGUUUUGGUUCUGAUCCCCCCCCCCCAGUUAUAUCAAUGUUAGCAGUGUCCUAUCGUGUGUUAUCCCAUCAGAAUAGGAUCCUGCUUCUUAGAUUUCAUUCAUCUGAGCUGAUCAGCAUUCCUGCUGUGCUGUUAAUUUAUUUAGCCAGUAGGUAAGGAUCAUAUCUUAUUCUCUGUACUAUCUUUGUACACCGCUUUCCGGUAUCGUUUCUGGGAAAUGACAGUGGUCCUUUAGCCACUAAGCACUGGUGUGGAGCCCUAGUCUUCAGAGAAUACUGUUAUCUGUUCUCUCGUAUGUUAUGAUAGCAUAAGCCUCCCAGUCCCUAUGGCCAAAUGAUAAUGUGCUCUCUUUCUUGCCACAGUCAUCUCAUCUCUGCUCUCUAUGAUGAACAGCUUAAGGUCAAAGCACCAAAUUAGCGGGUCCCAUUAUUCUCCAGACAGUAAUGGCGCCUUUAUGAAAGCAGCGAUAUAUAAUCUUUCACAAUGCUCCUAAAGAUUGAGCAGUUUCCUCUGGAGUUGAAUAACACUGCACCACCCCCAGAUCACAUAUUAAUUGUUUAGAGGAUGGAAAAAUCUAAAGAGAAUGGCUUUUUAUUAGGGUGAGUGGCUUUGUUUUUUCCUCACAUAUGAAUGAGGCUUAUCUCGAAGACUCUGAGAUAGUGAGAAGCUACAGAAGCAAAUUGGAUUUCGAAGUGGGAAAAGGACACAAUCGCAGUCUACAUUUAACUUAUUAGAUAAUUUCUCAAAGGUGGGUGGAAAUAUAAUAAAAAUGUGGAAUAUAAUUUAUAACAUUACAGGGAUUUGGGGUGUUUGUUUGGUUAGAAGAUCUAUGCAAGCACUUUAUUUUUGGUGAAUUGUCUAUCAAAUGAAUAUUCUACAUGCCCACAGGUCUGCACUUACUUAAUUGAAAAAUUAAACAUUUCUAAUUUUAAAGGUAUAAUUCCCUCAAAAAAUGAAAAUUCUGACAUUUAUUAACCCUUUUGUUGUUUCAG
ensembl:lncRNA